GGAGGAUCUUAGCUUUCUUACGGGGGAUUCUAUUAAUGGGAAGUCAUUAGCUGAUGGUGAAACCGGUAAUAAUACAAGGCGCCUCUGUGCAAUAUGCUUGAUGCUCCAAGGGACUGCUUCUUCCUUCCUUGCGGACACUGCGUGGCUUGUUUUGAAUGUGCAACAAGGUUAGCAGAGGCAGACGGUACUUGCCCUGUAUGCCGCAGGAACAUGAAGAAAGUGAGAAAGAUAUUUACUGUUUGAGCAGUGGAUGCAGUGCGCAGUGUCUUGUGGCACAGACAAAAAAUGAAUGGCCAGAUCAGAACCACAGAUUUAGUUUGCAUCUUAUAAGCCACUGUUUUCCUGAAAAUCAUUAGCAAUAAUUGAGCUAACGGUAGCUGGUGGUGAGGGUAGUCAUAGACAGUAUUCAUUGGCCAUUUGACGGACAGCCAGAGGAAAUGAAAAGGGGCAAGGUGUGUUUUUGGUACAUAAUGAGAUUGCUCUGUUUCUCAAAUGACACGGGAUACAAAGGUUUUUAUGUGGAUUUUUUGCCUUGCCCUUUUCUUCCUGGAAUCAGGAAAGGCCGCAAGAGGAGUGCAAAUUGCCCAAUUUUUUCUUAUCAUUAUACUAGUUUGGAUUUUAUUCGUAUAAUUCAAGAGAUGAUAAUUUUUUGCGAUUUAUCAGAAAAA